rnacentral:rRNA from 1 species
UACACGACCGUACCGCAAACCGACACUGGUGCGCGAGAUGAGUAUUCUAAGGCGCUUGAGAGAACUCAGGAGAAGGAACUCGGCAAAUUGACACCGUAACUUCGGAAGAAGGUGUGCCUUUAGUAGGUGAACCAUUUACUUGGGGAGCCCAAUGAGGCUGCAAAAAAUCGGUGGCUGCAACUGUUUAUUAAAAACACAGCACUCUGCUAAGACGAAAGUCGACGUAUAGGGCGUGACGCCUGCCCGGUGCUGUAAGAUUAAAUGAUGGGGUGCAAGCUCUUGAUUGAAGUCCCAGUAAACGGCGGCCGUAACUAUAACGGUCCUAAGGUAGCGAAAUUCCUUGUCGGGUAAGUUCCGACCUGCACGAAUGGCGUAAUGAUGGCCACACUGUCUCCUCCUGAGCCUCAGCGAAGUUGAAAUGUUUGUGAUGAUGCAAUCUCCCCGCGGAAAGACGGAAAGACCCCAUGAACCUUUACUGUAGCUUUGUAUUGGACUUUGAACAGAUCUGUGUAGGAUAGGUGGGAGGCUUUGAAGUGUGGUCGCUAGAUCGCAUGGAGCCAACGUUGAAAUACCACCCUGGUGUGUUUGAGGUUCUAACCUAGGUCCAUUAUCUGGAUCGGGGACAGUGCAUGGUAGGCAGUUUGACUGGGGCGGUCUCCUCCCAAAGUGUAACGGAGGAGUUCGAAGGUACGCUAGGUACGGUCGGACAUCGUGCUAAUAGUGCAAUGGCAUAAGCGUGCUUAACUGCGAGACUGACAAGUCGAGCAGAUGCGAAAGCAGGACAUAGUGAUCCGGUGGUUCUGUAUGGAAGGGCCAUCGCUCAACGGAUAAAAGGCACUCUGGGGAUAACAGGCUGAUACCGCCCAAGAGUUCAUAUCGACGGCGGUGUUUGGCACCUCGAUGUCGGCUCAUCUCAUCCUGCGGCUGUAGCCGGUCCCAAGGGUAUGGCUGUUCGCCAUUUAAAGAGGUACGUGAGCUGGGUUUAAAACGUCGUGAGACAGUUUGGUCCCUAUCUUCCGUGGGCGCUGCAGAUUUGAGGAAGCCUGCUCCUAGUACGAGAGGACCGGAGUGGACGAACCUCUGGUGUAUCGGUUGUCACGCCAGUGGCAUUGCCGAGUAGCUAAGUUCGGAAGAGAUAACCGCUGAAAGCAUCUAAGCGGGAAACUCGUUUCAAGAUUAGAUCUGCCGGGGCCUUGAGCCCCCUAAAGAGUCGUUCAAGACCAGGACGUUGAUAGGUCAGGUGUGGAAGC